rnacentral:misc_RNA from 1 species
AAGUAUCAACAGUAGGUUGUUCAUGCUGAUAAAGUGUUUAUUGUUUAAAGAUAACAUUGGGUUACAUCAUUCAACUAACAGCUUAUUUCAUUCAUUUGCGAAGUCUGUUCGCAAACACACCCCAUAUAAAAAUUGUUUUAAAGUACAAAAUGUCAAUCAACAGUUCAUUAAUUUUAUUUUUACUACAAUUUGUACUGGACACACAUGGACAACCUCACAAUAAACAGUUUCGUGAUGAUUACACCUUUAUCGAAGAGACACAAAGUUAUUAUAAAUAUUUCUCUAACUCUAAAACAUGGCAUGACGCGUUGACGACGUGCGCUAGAGAGGGCGCUACCCUAUUCUACGCCGAGGACAAAGAUGAGUUCGAAGCAGUAGCGAAAUUUUGGACGCAAUUUGGAGAUGUUAUUUUCGUAGGCAUAUCGUCUUUUUUUUCAAAAGGGGUGUUCACAUCAUAUGAUAACAAACCAUUAACGGAUAUUUACAAUAACUGGUUUCCUGGAAAACCAGAUGAUAAAAAUGGGGAAGGGAACUGUGUUAUCAUGAGUAAACGUGGACAAAUGGAGGACUUGAGUUGCACACAGAGAUGGCCGUUCAUUUGCAAGAAGACAUCAACAAACGUUGUUUGGCACCACGACUGUGAAACACCCUACGAUGGUUACGUAUUAAACGAAGACCUUGGAAGAUGUUACAAGUUCUUUUUGACUCCGAUGAAUUGGACAGAAGCGUUGGCAGUGUGUAACGCAGAAGAGUCUUACUUGGCGAUCAUUAACAGUAAGCAAGAGGCAGACUAUCUUAAAAAAUUAACAGAAGAUGCGCCAAAAGACAAAGUAAGAGGUGACUAUACAGCCGGAGUUGUAAUGCUGGGCUUCGGUAAUCGAUUUAAGCAGGGCUGGCUUUCUGUCAAAGGUGCCACGUUAGAAGCCAGUGGUUAUUCGCAUUGGGGUUACGCUCAGCCCGACGUGGACAACAAGGACCUCUGCGGCGCCAUGUUCUACAACGGGGAACUCACCUACAGCGACUGCUCGCCGCGCAGCUUCUUUAUAUGCGAAAAGGAAUAUACUUACACACGGCAUUGAUCUAAUGUUCGAAGACGAAUUUUGGUCUGACGGAUAAGAGCAAUACACAGCUAGUCCUCAUCCUCGAUUUAUUUUAAGGUCGUAUUCCUGUCGUCUCCUGUGGUCAGGUUGAAAACGGGAAUUUCUGGUGGUCUACAAUUGAAAAUAUUACAUUUAGCAUAGUUUGUUACUUUGACUUUCGAUUUACGUUUAAAUGUUUGUCAGUGUUACUGUUUCUGUGUCAAUAAUGUAUCUUUAUUUUCUUUA